rnacentral:rRNA from 1 species
UACGUAGGGAGCAAGCGUUGUCCGGAAUCAUUGGGCGUAAAGCGCACGUAGGUGGUUUUCUAAGUCAGCUGUGAAAUCCCCGGGCUCAACCUGGGACUUGCAGUUGAAACUGGAAAGCUAGAGUAGGGUAGAGGGGUGUGGAAUUCCAGGUGUAGCGGUGAAAUGCGUAGAUAUCUGGAGGAACAUCAGUGGCGAAGGCGACACCCUGGACUCAUACUGACACUGAGGUGCGAAAGCGUGGGGAGCAAACAGG